UGGAACUGCCAUCAAAACUUUUUAGCUAGAGUAUGAUAGAGGAAAGCAGAAUUUCUAGUGUAGAGGUGAAAUUCGUAGAUAUUAGAAAGAAUACCAAUUGCGAAGGCAGCUUUCUGGAUCAUUACUGACACUGAGGAACGAAAGCAUGGGUAGCGAAGAGGAUUAGAUACCCUCGUAGUCCAUGCCGUAAACGAUGUGUGUUAGACGUUGGAAAUUUAUUUUCAGUGUCGCAGGGAAACCGAUAAACACACCGCCUGGGGAGUACGACCGCAAGGUUAAAACUCAAAUGAAUUGACGGGGACCCGCACAAGUAGUGGAGCAUGUGGUUUAAUUCGAAGAUACGCGCAGAACCUUACCAACACUUGACAUGUUCGUCGCGACUCUAAGAGAUUAGAGUUUUCGGUUCGGCCGGACGAAACACAGGUGCUGCAUGGCUGUCGUCAGCUCGUGUCGUGAGAUGUUGGGUUAAGUCCCGCAACGAGCGCAACCCUCACUUUUAGUUGCCAUCAUUAAGUUGGGCACUCUGAAAGAACUGCCAGUGAUAAGCUGGAGGAAGGUGGGGAUGACGUCAAGUCCUCAUGGCCCUUACGUGUUGGGCUACACACGUGCUACAAUGGCAUCUACAACAGGAAGCAAAACGGCAACGUUAAGCAAAUCCCGAAAAGAUGCCUCAGUUCGGAUUGCACUCUGCAACUCGAGUGCAUGAAGCUGGAAUUACUAGUAAUCGUGGAUCAGCGUGCCACGGUGAAUGCGUUCCCGGGUCUUGUACACACCGCCCGUCACACCAUGGGAGUUGGUUCUACCUUAAGGCAAGGUUUUAAACCCUUGACCACGGUAUAGUCAGCGACUGGGGUGAAGUCGUAACAAGGUAACC
rnacentral:rRNA from 1 species